AACGCACAUUGCGCCUCCCUGAAAGGGGAGGCAUGCCUGUCUGAGCGUCUUUUAAAUCUCAUGGGCUUCAGCUUUGUGGCCCGAGUUGGGCCUCGCCCCCCCUCUGGCUGGGGGCGUCGCCUCAAAGGCAUCGGCGUCGAUGUCGAGCGGACGAGUCCCUCUAGGGCCCCCAUGCGCUCCAUUCGACGCGAUGAAAGGGUCGUCUUGACCUACAACAGACCUCAGAUCAGGUAGGAGCACCGCCUGAACUUAA
rnacentral:misc_RNA from 1 species